GCUCCGGUGGCCUAGUGGUUAGAGCUUCCGCCUCGUAUGCGAAAGGUCGUGGGUUCGAUCCCCUGUCGAGUCA